rnacentral:lncRNA from 1 species
GACACAGCCGGGAUUUCCAGCCGGCGCUUUUGCACAUCCCACUUCUUCAGAUCCCUUCGGCAACUGCGAAGUCGCCUGGAUUUCCCAGCAACCUGCAUUCCAUUUGUCUCAUUGACCCUACUGCAUUUUUCCUUCGCAUCAUUAAAAAGGAUGUAAUGUACAGAAAAGCACAGACAGACCUAAACUCCAAUGCCAACCAUGCCAUCUGCUGAUUAUAAGACAGUGGAACAGAGUGCAUACAGAAAGAGCUCAGAAGUGAAAGAUGCGCAGAGUGCCCACAGUGGCAGCAACUAGCUGAGGGGCCUUCAGAUCGCAGCCUUCCGGACCACCGUUAUAACAGGUAGAGAUAUGCAAGGUUAAGUCCAGCUAUUGAAUUUUUAAAACCUAAAUUACACCUCUUCUCAACCUCUGCCUCCUCCAAGGAGCCUUACCUGAGGAGA